rnacentral:lncRNA from 1 species
CUAAUUUCUCUUUGCAUUCUGUAAUAUGCAAUUAACAUCGAGAAACGUCUAUAAAAUUAAAAUGUAAUUACCUUUUUCUUACAGGACUAACUUUGGUGCCUGAAAAGCUGUUUGCAUAUCCAGCAGACACUGAUUUCCAUUUGAACACCAUGCAGACCUGCUCAUUUGGCAGAGGAAGAGUCUUGCUGCAAAUGAGCUGACCUUCCUCUAUAAUCCAGCAUGUUCUCUAGAGGCAUUAUGAAGACAACAGAGAGAAACAAAGUGUCAAACUUCAAUACUGCUGGCUAUUGGGAAAGGUUUAACAGAGGAGUUCAAUAUUUGCUGAUUCCAAGUACAGCACACUGGACUAGUUGGAUCUUUCAUCUGACGUUUUAUGGUUAGUCUUAUAUUCUUGUUGAAACUUUUUAAACCUAAAGCUGUUGUCUCUUUGUGUGAACCUCGUAACUGAUCCUCCUCAUUGCAAAUCUUCCCCUUUACCUCUCAAGAGAUAUCAGUAGGGUUCAUAGAUGUGGUCACUGAGUCCAUGUGGUCCAUAAAGCAGUGAGAGACCUUUUUUUGCUGAAUGGUCUCUCUUAAAAGGGAGGAGUUGUAGGUCAAAUUCUGAUUUUGGAGGAUAUCUGUAAUUGUUUAAGGUAGGGAUAUUAAACUCAGCUCAAGGCUAAAGAUGUUUUACUGCAAUAGCAUCCAGCCUGGUAUGCAAAAGUAUCAAAGCCCUAGCUAAUUCCAGGCACCGGUGAGGGUACUGAAAACAGGAACACCAAGGAAGCACAGGCAGCAUCCUGCUUUUCAGCAGAAAGUUUCCGUCGUUAGUACCUGCUCUCAUAUACCCUUGCCUUUGCCUUUGCACAUAUUUUGG